CAGUAGCCGCGGGAAUACGGAGGGUGCAAGCGUUAAUCGGAAUUACUGGGCGUAAAGCGCACGCAGGCGGUCUGACAAGUCAGAUGUGAAAUCCCCGGGCUUAACCUUGGAACUGCAUUUGAAACUGUCAGGCUGGAGUCUUGUAGAGGGGGGUGGAAUUCCAGGUGUAGCGGUGAAAUGCGUAGAGAUCUGGAGGAAUACCGGUGGCGAAGGCGGCCCCCUGGACAAAGACUGACGCUCAGGUGCGAAAGCGUGGGGAGCAAACAGGAUUAGAUACCCGGGUAGUCCCUGUCUCUUAUAA
rnacentral:rRNA from 1 species